rnacentral:rRNA from 1 species
AUUGAACGCUGGCGGCAGGCCUAACACAUGCAAGUCGAGCGGUAACACAGGGAGCUUGCUCCCGGGUGACGAGCGGCGGACGGGUGAGUAAUGUCUGAGAAACUGCCUGAUGGAGGGGGAUAACUACUGGAAACGGUAGCUAAUACCGCAUAAUGUCGCAAGACCAAAGAGGGGGACCUUCGGGCCUCUUGCCAUCAGAUGUGCCCAGAUGGGAUUAGCUAGUAGGUGGGGUAACGGCUCACCUAGGCGACGAUCCCUAGCUGGUCUGAGAGGAUGACCAGCCACACUGGAACUGAGACACGGUCCAGACUCCUACGGGAGGCAGCAGUGGGGAAUAUUGCACAAUGGGCGCAAGCCUGAUGCAGCCAUGCCGCGUGUAUGAAGAAGGCCUUCGGGUUGUAAAGUACUUUCAGCGGGGAGGAAGGUGUUGAGGUUAAUAACCUCAGCAAUUGACGUUACCCGCAGAAGAAGCACCUGCUAACUCCGUGCCAGCCGCCGCCGUAA